rnacentral:miRNA from 1 species
AUAGGAACAUGGAAGAUUGUCA